rnacentral:rRNA from 1 species
CCUACGGGAGGCAGCAGUGGGGAAUAUUGCACAAUGGGGGAAACCCUGAUGCAGCGACGCCGCGUGAGUGAAGAAGUAUUUCGGUAUGUAAAGCUCUAUCAGCAGGGAAGAAACCCACCCUCCGGGGUGGCUGACGGUACCUGACUAAGAAUCCCCGGCUAACUACGUGCCAGCAGCCGCGGUAAUACGUCGGGGGCAAGCGUUUUCUGGAUUUACUGGGUGUAAAGGGAGCGAAGGUGGCAAGGCAAGUCAGAUGUGAAAACCCGGGGCCCAACCCCGGGAGUGCAUGUGAAACUGUCUGGCUAGAGUGCAGGAGAGGUAAGUGGAAGUCCUAGUGUAGCGGUGAAAUGCAUAGAUAUUAGGAGGAACACCAGUGGCGAAGGCGGCUUACUGGACUGUAACUGACACUGAGGCUCGAAAGCGUGGGGAGCAAACAGGAUUAGAUACCCCAGUAGUC